AUGCGCCGCAGACUCCACAGAGUGUGAAGAGCACAGCUAAUUACAAGGACAAGUCUGAAAAUCCUGUUGUGAAGCCUUCUAAGAGUGCUCUGGUGCCACAGAAGACAUCCACUAGGAAAAGGUCCCGUUCAACAAGCAAAGGAAACGUGGCCAACAAACUCCUCAUUGAUGAUGAGGCCGAGGAAGACGACGGUGGCAGUAGCGGGGGUGCGGCCUCUGCUGAUCAGCAAAG